UUCAACUCAGUGGCGGACGGGUGAGUAACGCGUGAGUAACCUGCCUUUCAGAGGGGGAUAACGUUCUGAAAAGAACGCUAAUACCGCAUAAGAUUGUAGCUUCGCAUGGAGCAGCAAUCAAAGGAGCAAUCCGCUGAAAGAUGGACUCGCGUCCGAUUAGAUAGUUGGCGGGGUAACGGCCCACCAAGUCGACGAUCGGUAGCCGGACUGAGAGGUUGAUCGGCCACAUUGGGACUGAGACACGGCCCAGACUCCUACGGGAGGCAGCAGUGAGGGAUAUUGGGCAAUGGGGGAAACCCUGACCCAGCAACGCCGCGUGAGGGAUGACGGUUUUCGGAUUGUAAACCUCUGUCCUCUGUGAAGAUAGUGACGGUAGCAGAGGAGGAAGCUCCGGCUAACUACGUGCCAGCAGCCGCGGUAAUACGUAGGGAGCAAGCGUUGUCCGGAUUUACUGGGUGUAAAGGGUGCGUAGGCGGAUUGGCAAGUCAGAAGUGAAAUCCAUGGGCUUAACCCAUGAACUGCUUUUGAAACUGUUAGUCUUGAGUGAAGUAGAGGUAGGCGGAAUUCCCGGUGUAGCGGUGAAAUGCGUAGAGAUCGGGAGGAACACCAGUGGCGAAGGCGGCCUACUGGGCUUUAACUGACGCUGAGGCACGAAAGUGUGGGU
rnacentral:rRNA from 1 species